rnacentral:rRNA from 1 species
UACGUAGGAGGCAAGCGUUGUCCGGAGUUACUGGGCGUAAAGCGCACGCAGGCGGUUCAGUCCGUCUGUAGGGACAGGGCACAGCUCAACUGUGUCAGGCUUACGGAAACUGCUGAACUUGAGGGCUUCAGAGGGAUGGGGAAUUCCGGGUGGAGUGGUGAAAUGCGUAGAGAUCCGGAAGAACACCAAAGGCGAAGGCACCAUCCUGGGGAGUCACUGACGCUCGGGUGCGAAAGCCAGGGGAGCGAACGGG